rnacentral:rRNA from 1 species
GACGAACGCUGGCGGCGUGCUUAACACAUGCAAGUCGAACGGAAAGGCCCUGCUUUUGUGGGGUGCUCGAGUGGUGAACGGGUGAGUAAAACGUGAGUAACCUGCCCUUGACUUUGGGAUAACUUCAGGAAACUGGGGCUAAUACCGGAUAGGAGCUCCUGCUGCAUGGUGGGGGUUGGAAAGUUUCGGCGGUUGGGGAUGGACUCGCGGCUUAUCAGCUUGUUGGUGGGGUAGUGGCUUACCAAGGCUUUGACGGGUAGCCGGCCUGAGAGGGUGACCGGCCACAUGGGGACUGAGAUACGGCCCAGACUCCUACGUGAGGCAGCAGUGGGGAGUAUUGCACAAUAGGCGGAAGCCUGAUGCAGCAACGCCGCGUGCGGGAUGACGGCCUUCUGGUUGUAAACCGCUUUCGCCUGUGACGAAGCGUGAGUGACGGUAAUGGGUAAAGAAGCACCGGCUAACUACGUG